rnacentral:misc_RNA from 1 species
CUACAGAACCUGUUGGAGCAGAAGGAGGGAAACAUCAGCCAGGUGUUGGACGCCAUCCAGACCAGAGCCAAGACCACCCCUGAUGGCGGCUUCAUGGCCUAAACCCAUGGGAAAGAUGGAAAUAUAUAGAACUGGAGACAGAUUGGACUUUGUCUUGACUUUUAAUUUUUGGUGGAUGUUGUAAUUUUUUGUAGUUUGGUAACUUUUCUUAUUAAUAUGAAUCACUACCUAUAGUGUGUGCUUAUUCUGUUUGUUUUGAAUUGUUUUUUAUUCUAGUAUUUUGGAAACAACAUGACUUGUGUAUUUUAUUUUGAUUUUUUUAACCAUGUAAACAUUGAAAUCAAUCUUGCUUAACACAGACAUUAUGAUUUUGAAGAUGUAUAUUUAAAAAUUGUUAAACCUGUUAACGAUAAUUGUGGUACUGCUUUCCCAAAAUGAUAAAAUAUUUAAUUGAUAAUCAAAUAUAAAAUGACAUAAAUGAAACAAUUGCUGUUCAUAUUUAACCAUAUUAUGGGUAACUUGCUUUAUCCUGCAAAAAAGUAGUACUGCAGUUAUAGUGAAGCAGUUUAUAUGUCAAACUGCUUUAUGAAUACAUGUAUCAUCAGUCGAAUUUCCUGUUGUUGGGCUGGUUCUAAUUAGACUUACAAUUUAGAGUUAUUUCAAAGAUCAUGUAUGAUAACAAGAAGGGAUGACCUAUUAUUAUUUUUAGACAAAUUGGGAAUUGUUGAAUCUUUGAUAUUUCAUUUAGUAAAUUGUCUAUUUUAAAUUUUUGAUCUUACUUAGAACCUACUACAUGAAAAUUUUUUGUUAUGUUAUUGUCUUGCCUACUUUUUAAUGACCAAAAUUCAAUAAAAGAAAUUUCAUC